GCAGUCGGACGGUAGCACAGAGGAGCUUGCUCCUCGGGUGACGAGUGGCGGACGGGUGAGUAAUGUCUGGGGAUCUGCCCGAUAGAGGGGGAUAACCACUGGAAACGGUGGCUAAUACCGCAUAACGUCGCAAGACCAAAGAGGGGGACCUUCGGGCCUCUCACUAUCGGAUGAACCCAGAUGGGAUUAUCUAGUAGGCGGGGUAACGGCCCACCUAGGCGACGAUCCCUAGCUGGUCUGAGAGGAUGACCACCCACACUGGAACUGAGACACGGUCCAGACUCCUACGGGAGGCAGCAGUGGGGAAUAUUGCACAGUGGGCGCAAGCCUGAUGCACCCGUGCCGCGUGUAUGAAGAAGGCCUUCGGGUUGUAAAGUACUUUCAGCGGGGAGGAAGGCGAUGUGGUUAAUAACCGCAUCGAUUGACGUUACCCGCAGAAGAAGCACCGGCUAACUCCGUGCCAGCAGCCGCGGUAAUACGGAGGGUGCAAGCGUUAAUCGGUAUUACUGGGCGUAAGCGCACGCAGGCGGUCUGUUAAGUCAUAUGUGAAAUCCCCGGGCUUAACCUGGGAACUGCAUUUGAAACUGGCAGGCUUGAGUCUCGUAGAGGGGGGUAGAAUUCCAGGUGUAGCGGUGAAGUGCGUAGAGAUCUGGAAGAAUACCGGUGGCAAACGCGGCCCCCUGGACGAACACUGACGCUCAUGUGCGAAAGCGUGGAGAGCAAACGGGAUUAGAUACUCUGGUAGUCCACGCCGUACACGAUGUAGACUUGAGAGGUUGUCCUCUUGAAGAGUGGUUUCCGGAGCUAACGCGUUACUCGACCGUCUGGAGAGUACGGCCGCAAGGUUAACUCUCAUGUGAUGUGACGGGGCGCCGCACAAGCGGUGGAAGCAUGUGGUUUAAUUCUGAUGCACGCAGAGAACCUUACCUACUCGUGACAUCCAGAGAAUUUAGCAGAGAUUGCUUUGGUG
rnacentral:rRNA from 1 species